rnacentral:rRNA from 1 species
AAAUUGAAGAGUUUGAUCAUGGCUCAGAUUGAACGCUGGCGGCAGGCCUAACACAUGCAAGUCGAGCGGCAGCGGGAAAGUAGCUUGCUACUUUUGCCGGCGAGCGGCGGACGGGUGAGUAAUGCCUGGGGAUCUGCCCAGUCGAGGGGGAUAACUACUGGAAACGGUAGCUAAUACCGCAUACGCCCUACGGGGGAAAGCAGGGGACCUUCGGGCCUUGCGCGAUUGGAUGAACCCAGGUGGGAUUAGCUAGUUGGUGAGGUAAUGGCUCACCAAGGCGACGAUCCCUAGCUGGUCUGAGAGGAUGAUCAGCCACACUGGAACUGAGACACGGUCCAGACUCCUACGGGAGGCAGCAGUGGGGAAUAUUGCACAAUGGGG